CAUCUCUGAACCUGAGGCUCAUUCAUGGAGUGUUCUGUGUGGUUGGAUGAACGACGAGAGGGGACGGCGUAGAAAACAAUCAGUAUGAAGCCCAAAGCAGAGCUCAUUUGGAACAUAAUACAACAGAGCCACCAGGUGAUAUCUGCGGUAAGAAAAGGCAUAAAACCUACGACAGCCAGAGGUUGAGGCCUAAUUAAUAUAUGUAAAUGUUGAUCAGCUUUCUUCACGGGGACAGAGGACAAGACUAACCAGGGCACCUUCAUGAAGGAUGUGCUAAUUCUUAUGGCAAGCAGCACUGAUCAUCUGCCACGUUGGUGAUGAACGCUAUAGAAAUUAUUCUAAUGUCUGCACUACCUCUCUUCCCUCCUCACUGUCACUAUUACAACCUCUUACAGGAAAGAGGAGCUUGAUACAGUCAGGCUUCACUGUGAAGGGCUUCUCUACACAAAGUUUUUGCCAG